AUGAACCACCAACUUAUCCAGCACCAGACCGGUUACUCACUGAAGCUAAGCAGGGCUGAGCCUGGUCAGUACCUGGAUGGGAGACCACAUGGGAACACUAGGUUGCUGUUGGAA
ensembl:rRNA 5S_rRNA 5S ribosomal RNA